rnacentral:piRNA from 1 species
UGCCAGAACCACAGCUUUCAAGUUGCAGAGU